UACGUAGGGUGCAAGCGUUGUCCGGAAUUAUUGGGCGUAAAGAGCUCGUAGGCGGUUCGUCGCGUCGGCUGUGAAAACCCGGAGCUCAACUCCGGGCCUGCAGUCGAUACGGGCGGACUUGAGUGUUGCAGGGGAGACUGGAAUUCCUGGUGUAGCGGUGAAAUGCGCAGAUAUCAGGAGGAACACCGGUGGCGAAGGCGGGUCUCUGGGCAACUACUGACACUGAGGAGCGAAAGCGUGGGGAGCGAACAGG
rnacentral:rRNA from 1 species